GAUGAACGCUGGCGGCGUGCUUAACACAUGCAAGUCGAGCGAGAAGGUUAUGAACGAUUCUUCGGAUGAAUGAUUAACUAGAAAGCGGCGGACGGGUGAGUAACGCGUGGGUAACCUGCCCCAUACAAAGGGAUAGCCACUGGAAACGGUGAUUAAUACCUUAUAUUGCUUAAGAACCGCAUGGUUCAUAAGUGAAAGAUUUUAUCGGUAUGGGAUGGACCCGCGUCUGAUUAGCUAGUUGGUAAGGUAACGGCUUACCAAGGCGACGAUCAGUAGCCGGCCUGAGAGGGUGAACGGCCACACUGGAACUGAGACACGGUCCAGACUCCUACGGGAGGCAGCAGUGGGGAAUAUUGCACAAUGGGCGCAAGCCUGAUGCAGCAACGCCGCGUGAGCGAAGAAGGCCUUCGGGUCGUAAAGCUCUGUCCUCAGGGAAGAAUACAUGACGGUACCUGAGGAGGAAGCCCCGGCUAACUACG
rnacentral:rRNA from 2 species